rnacentral:rRNA from 1 species
AACGAACGCUGGCGGCAUGCCUAACACAUGCAAGUCGAACGAGACCUUCGGGUCUAGUGGCGCACGUGUGCGUAACGCGUGGGAACCUGCCCUUAGGUUCGGAAUAACUCCCCGAAAGGGGUGCUAAUACCGGUUAAUCUCUUCGGACCAAAGAUUUAUCGCCUUUGGAUGGGCCCGCGUUGGAUUAGCUAGUUGGUAGGGUAAAAGCCUACCAAGGAGACGAUCCAUAGCUGGUCUGAGAGGAUGAUAAGCCACACUGGGACUGAGACACGGCCCAGACUCGUACGGGAGGCAGCAGUGGGGAAUAUUGGACAAUGGGCGAAAGCCUGAUCCAGCAAUGCCGCGUGAGUGAUGAAGGCCUUAGGGUUGUAAAGCUCUUUUACCCGGGAUGAUAAUGACAGUACCGGGAGAAUAAGCUCCGGCUAACUCCGUG